CCAAGUUCCAGUCUCAUUUGGCAUAGUUGUUACAGCAGGCUGUCCUUCCUAACGCCAACCACUCCAAGAAUGUAAUCGGUACUUUUACAUACCACUGCCAUGGGCGCCAUUUUCAUGACACUGGGGU